rnacentral:rRNA from 1 species
GGACUACCAGGGUAUCUAAUCCUGUUUGCUCCCCACGCUUUCGCGCCUCAGCGUCAGUCAAGGACCAGGUCGCCGCCUUCGCCACCGGUGUUCUUCCCAAUAUCUACGAAUUUCACCUCUACACUGGGAAUUCCACGACCCUCUUCCCCACUCAAGAUCGCACGUAUCAAGCGCAGCCCCCAGGUUAAGCCCAGGAAUUUCACGCCUGACUGUACAAUCCGCCUACGCGCCCUUUACGCCCAGUCAUUCCGAGCAACGCUAGCCCCCUUCGUAUUACCGCGGCUGCUGGCAC